rnacentral:rRNA from 1 species
GACGUGAGGGUCCGAGCGUUGCUCGGAAUCACUGGGCGUAAAGGGUGCGUAGGCGGGUCUUUAAGUCAGGGGUGAAAUCCUGGAGCUCAACUCCAGAACUGCCUUUGAUACUGAGGAUCUUGAGUUCGGGAGAGGUGAGUGGAACUGCGAGUGUAGAGGUGAAAUUCGUAGAUAUUCGCAAGAACACCAGUGGCGAAGGCGGCUCACUGGCCCAUAACUGACGCUGAGGCACGAAAGCGUGGGGAGCAAACAGGG